GGGUUGUGAGGUUAAGCGACUAAGCGUACACGGUGGAUGCCCUGGCAGUCAGAGGCGAUGAAGGACGUGCUAAUCUGCGAAAAGCGUCGGUAAGGUGAUAUGAACCGUUAUAGCCGGCGAUGUCCGAAUGGGGAAACCCAGUGUGAUUCGUCACACUAUCGUUAACUGAAUACAUAGGUUAACGAGGCGAACCGGGGGAACUGAAACAUCUAAGUACCCCGAGGAAAAGAAAUCAACCGAGAUUCCCCCAGUAGCGGCGAGCGAACGGGGAGCAGCCCAGAGUCUGAAUCAGCUUGUGUGUUAGUGGAACGGUCUGGAAAGUCCGACGGUACAGGGUGAUAGUCCCGUACACCAAAAUGCACAGGUUGUGAACUCGAAGAGUAGGGCGGGACACGUGGUAUCCUGUCUGAAUAUGGGGGGACCAUCCUCCAAGGCUAAAUACUCCUGACUGACCGAUAGUGAACCAGUACCGUGAGGGAAAGGCGAAAAGAACCCCGGCGAGGGGAGUGAAAAAGAACCUGAAACCGUGUACGUACAAGCAGUGGGAGCACCUUCGGGUGUGACUGCGUACCUUUUGUAUAAUGGGUCAGCGACUUAUAUUCUGUAGCAAGGUUAACCGUAUAGGGGAGCCGCAGGGAAACCGAGUCUUAACUGGGCGUUAAGUUGCAGGGGUAGACCCGAAACCCGGUGAUCUAGCCAUGGGCAGGUUGAAGGUUGGGUAACACUAACUGGAGGACCGAACCGACUAAUGUUGAAAAAUUAGCGGAUGACUUGUGGCUGGGGGUGAAAGGCCAAUCAAACCGGGAGAUAGCUGGUUCUCCCCGAAAGCUAUUUAGGUAGCGCCUCGUGAACUCAUCUUCGGGGGUAGAGCACUGUUUCGGCUAGGGGGUCAUCCCGACUUACCAACCCGAUGCAAACUACGAAUACCGAAGAAUGUUAUCACGGGAGACACACGGCGGGUGCUAACGUCCGUCGUGAAGAGGGAAACAACCCAGACCGCCAGCUAAGGUCCCAAAGUCAUGGUUAAGUGGGAAACGAUGUGGGAAGGCACAGACAGCCAGGAUGUUGGCUUAGAAGCAGCCAUCAUUUAAAGAAAGCGUAAUAGCUCACUGGUCGAGUCGGCCUGCGCGGAAGAUGUAACGGGGCUAAACCAUGCACCGAAGCUGCGGCAGCGACACUAUGUGUUGUUGGGUAGGGGAGCGUUCUGUAAGCCUGCGAAGGUGACCUGUGAGGGUUGCUGGAGGUAUCAGAAGUGCGAAUGCUGACAUAAGUAACGAUAAAGCGGGUGAAAAGCCCGCUCGCCGGAAGACCAAGGGUUCCUGUCCAACGUUAAUCGGGGCAGGGUGAGUCGACCCCUAAGGCGAGGCCGAAAGGCGUAGUCGAUGGGAAACAGGUUAAUAUUCCUGUACUUGGUGUUACUGCGAAGGGGGGACGGAGAAGGCUAUGUUAGCCGGGCGACGGUUGUCCCGGUUUAAGCAUGUAGGCUGAUUGUCCAGGCAAAUCCGGAUAAUCAAGGCUGAGGUGUGAUGACGAGGCACUACGGUGCUGAAGUAACAAAUGCCCUGCUUCCAGGAAAAGCCUCUAAGCAUCAGGUAACAUUAAAUCGUACCCCAAACCGACACAGGUGGUCAGGUAGAGAAUACCAAGGCGCUUGAGAGAACUCGGGUGAAGGAACUAGGCAAAAUGGUGCCGUAACUUCGGGAGAAGGCACGCUGGUGUGUAGGUGAAGUCCCUGCGGAUGGAGCUGAGACCAGUCGAAGAUACCAGCUGGCUGCAACUGUUUAUUAAAAACACAGCACUGUGCAAACACGAAAGUGGACGUAUACGGUGUGACGCCUGCCCGGUGCCGGAAGGUUAAUUGAUGGGGUUAUCCGUAAGGAGAAGCUCUUGAUCGAAGCCCCGGUAAACGGCGGCCGUAACUAUAACGGUCCUAAGGUAGCGAAAUUCCUUGUCGGGUAAGUUCCGACCUGCACGAAUGGCGUAAUGAUGGCCAGGCUGUCUCCACCCGAGACUCAGUGAAAUUGAACUCGCUGUGAAGAUGCAGUGUACCCGCGGCAAGACGGAAAGACCCCGUGAACCUUUACUAUAGCUUGACACUGAACAUUGAGCCUUGAUGUGUAGGAUAGGUGGGAGGCUUUGAAGCGUGGACGCCAGUCUGCGUGGAGCCAACCUUGAAAUACCACCCUUUAAUGUUUGAUGUUCUAACGUUGGCCCCUGACCGGGGUUGCGGACAGUGUCUGGUGGGUAGUUUGACUGGGGCGGUCUCCUCCCAAAGCGUAACGGAGGAGCACGAAGGUUAGCUAAUCCUGGUCCGAUAUCAGGAGGUUAGUGCAAUGGCAUAAGCUAGCUUGACUGCGAGCGUGACGGCGCGAGCAGGUGCGAAAGCAGGUCAUAGUGAUCCGGUGGUUCUGAAUGGAAGGGCCAUCGCUCAACGGAUAAAAGGUACUCCGGGGAUAACAGGCUGAUACCGCCCAAGAGUUCAUAUCGACGGCGGUGUUUGGCACCUCGAUGUCGGCUCAUCACAUCCCGGGGCUGAAGUAGGUCCCAAGGGUAUGGCUGUUCGCCAUUUAAAGUGGUACGCGAGCUGGGUUUAGAACGUCGUGAGACAGUUCGGUCCCUAUCUGCCGUGGGCGCUGGAGAAUUGAGGGGGGCUGCUCCUAGUACGAGAGGACCGGAGUGGACGCAUCACUGGUGUUCGGGUUGUCAUGCCAAUGGCACUGCCCGGUAGCUAAAUGCGGAAGAGAUAAGUGCUGAAAGCAUCUAAGCACGAAACUUGCCCCGAGAUGAGUUCUCCCUGAGACUAUAAGUCUCCUGAAGGAACGUUAAAGACGAUGACGUUGAUAGGCCGGGUGUGUAAGCGCAGCGAUGCGUUGAGCUAACCGGUACUAAUGAACCGUGAGGCUUAACCUUACAACGCCGAAG
rnacentral:rRNA from 1 species